rnacentral:rRNA from 1 species
CCUACGGGAGGCAGCAGUGAGGAAUAUUGGUCAAUGGCCGAGAGGCUGAACCAGCCAAGUCGCGUGAGGGAAGACGGCCCUACGGGUUGUAAACCUCUUUUGUCGGGGAGCAAAGCGAACCACGUGUGGUUCAUUGAGAGUACCCGAAGAAAAAGCAUCGGCUAACUCCGUGCCAGCGGCCGCGGUAAUAGGGGGGAGGCGAGGGUUGGCGGGGGGUAUUGGGGGUAAAGGGUGCGCAGGCGGAGGUGCAAGUCAGCGGUCAAAUUGCGGGGCUCAACCCCGUACUGCCGUUGAAACUGCAUCCCUUGAGUGCGCGAGAAGUAUGCGGAAUGCGUGGUGUAGCGGUGAAAUGCAUAGAUAUCACGCAGAACUCCGAUUGCGAAGGCAGCAUACCGGCGCGCAACUGACGCUCAUGCACGAAAGCGUGGGUAUCGAACAGGAUUAGAUACCCUUGUAGUC